ACGCCGAUGAGGAAGAAUUCCCAAAGUAUAGGAAGUGCCGUAUGACACUUUAAACAGCAGCAGCUGCACGGCUCCGCCACUUUUCCCAUCCGCCACUGGACAUUUUUGGAUUUGUUCCAAGUUUGUCCACUGGCCGGGACUGUGCGACCUACGCCGUGCUUCUCUGUGUGUGUGAUUUGGAACGGGUCUCUGAGGUUU
rnacentral:snoRNA from 1 species